rnacentral:rRNA from 1 species
AUACGUAGGGGGCGAGCGUUGUCCGGAAUGAUUGGGCGUAAAGGGCGCGUAGGCGGCCCGGUAAGUCUGGAGUGAAAGUCCUGUUUUUAAGAUGGGAAUUGCUUUGGAUACUGUCGGGCUUGAGUGCAGGAGAGGUAAGUGGAAUUCCCAGUGUAGCGGUGAAAUGCGUAGAGAUUGGGAGGAACACCAGUGGCGAAGGCGACUUACUGGACUGUAACUGACGCUGAGGCGCGAAAGUGUGGGGAGCAGACAGGAUUAGAUACCCUGGUAGUCCACACUGUAAACGAUGAAUGCUAGGUGUAGGGGGUAUCGACCCCUUCUGUGCCGCAGUCAACACAAUAAGCAUUCCGCCUGGGGAGUACGGCCGCAAGGUUGAAACUCAAAGGAAUUGACGGGG